AGUGAACGCUGGCGGUAGGCCUAACACAUGCAAGUCGAACGGCAGCACAGUAAGAGCUUGCUCUUACGGGUGGCGAGUGGCGGACGGGUGAGGAAUACAUCGGAAUCUACUUUUUCGGGGGGGAUAACGGAGGGAAACUUACGCUAAUACCGCAUACGACCUACGGGUGAAAGCAGGGGAUCUUCGGACCUUGCGCGAUUGAAUGAGCCGAUGUCGGAUUAGCUAGUUGGCGGGGUAAAGGCCCACCAAGGCGACGAUCCGUAGCUGGUCUGAGAGGAUGAUCAGCCACACUGGAACUGAGACACGGUCCAGACUCCUACGGGAGGCAGCAGUGGGGAAUAUUGGACAAUGGGCGCAAGCCUGAUCCAGCCAUACCGCGUGGGUGAAGAAGGCCUUCGGGUUGUAAAGCCCUUUUGUUGGGAAAGAAAAGCAGCAGGUUAAUACCCCGCUGUUCUGACGGUACCCAAAGAAUAAGCCCCGGCUAACUUCGUG
rnacentral:rRNA from 1 species